CUGGGUCUCCAUCCAGAAGACAGACAUGCAGAUGCUGUGGUCCCUCCUCUGCCUGCUGGCAGCUCCCCUGGGUGUUCUAUGUCAACUCACACUCCAGGAGUCCGGCCCAGGACUUGUGACGCCUUCGCAGUCCCUCUCUCUGACCUGCGUUGUCUCCGGGGGCUCUGUCACCAGCAGUUACUACUGGAGCUGGAUCCGCCAGCGCCCUGGGAGAGGGUUGGAGUGGAUGGGGUACUGGUCGGGUAGCACCAGCUACAACCCGGCUUUCCAGGGCCGCAUCACCAUCACUGCUGACACAUCCAACAACCAGUUCUCCCUGCAGCUGAGCUCCAUGACCACCGAGGACACGGCUGUGUAUUACUGUGCCGAAGCACAGUGAGGGAGAGUCACUGUGAGCUCAGACACAAACCUGGCGCAGGGACCUGG